UAAGCCUUUUCCGUCAAUCCUUAAUUUAUUCGUUGGCUCCUUGUCAAACACGCACAGAGCAUCUGCCUGUGUCGGGCGUACCGUACAACGAAGGUCGCGCGGAGGGGCUGUCGGUGGCCACGAACCCGAGGCUCCGGCACCGCAACUGUCACACGGCCACCUGUGGCUCGCUGGCUUGCCCCCUCCGCCUACGCCGGGAGGAUGUGGAGGACACCAGUUCCUCUUCCUCCCGCCUCCAUUAUUUUCCCAGGCCCAGGCGAGACAUCUUCCUGGAAAACCUGCUGGGAAAGGGGAAAUCCCGGCAGGGAUCUCUUUUCGGGAAAAGUCAUGCAAACAAAUGAAAACAUAUGCCAACCUG